rnacentral:rRNA from 1 species
UACGGAGGGUGCGAGCGUUGUCCGGAAUCAUUGGGCGUAAAGCGCGCGUAGGCGGCCCUGUAAGUCCGCUGUAAAAGUCAAAGGCUCAACCUUUGAAAGCCGGUGGAUACUGCAGGGCUAGAGUCCGGAAGAGGCGAGUGGAAUUCCUGGUGUAGCGGUGGAAUGCGCAGAUAUCAGGAGGAACACCAAUAGCGAAGGCAGCUCGCUGGGACGGUACUGACGCUAAGGCGCGAAAGCGUGGGGAGCGAACAGG